UCCGGGUUGAUCCUGCCGGAGGCCAUUGCUAUUGGGAUCCGAUUUAGCCAUGCUAGUCGUACGAGUUCACACUCGUGGCGAAUAGCUCAGUAACACGUGGCCAAACUACCCUUCGGAGCGCAAUACCCUCGGGAAACUGAGGCUAAUAGUACAUACCAUACCACCACUGGAAUGAGUGGUAUGCCAAACGCUCCGGCGCCGAAGGAUGUGGCUGCGGCCGAUUAGGUAGACGGUGGGGUAACGGCCCACCGUGCCAAUAAUCGGUAUGGGUCAUGAGAGUGAGAACCCAGAGACGGAAUCUGAGACAAGAUUCCGGGCCCUACGGGGCGCAGCAGGCGCGAAACCUUUACACUGCACGUCAGUGCGAUAAGGGGAUCCCGAGUGCGCAGGCAUAGAGCCUGCGCUUUUCUGAACUGUAGGGAGGUUCAGGAAGAAGAGCUGGGCAAGACCGGUGCCAGCCGCCGCGGUAAUACCGGCAGCUCGAGUGAUGGCCGAUCUUAUUGGGCCUAAAGCGUCCGUAGCUGGCCUGGCAAGUCCGUCGGGAAAUCCACCCGCUCAACGGGUGGGCGUCCGGCGGAAACUGCGAGGCUUGGGACCGGGAGGCUUGAAGGGUACGUCCGGGGUAGGAGUGAAAUCCCGUAAUCCUGGACGGACCACCGAUGGGGAAACCACUUCAAGAGAACGGAUCCGACAGUGAGGGACGAAAGCUAGGGUCUCGAACCGGAUUAGAUACCCGGGUAGUCCUAGCUGUAAACGAUGCCUGUUAGGUGUGACUCCCACUACGAGUGGGUGUUGUGCCGUAGGGAAGCCGCUAAACAGGCCGCCUGGGAAGUACGUCUGCAAGGAUGAAACUUAAAGGAAUUGGCGGGGGAGCA
rnacentral:rRNA from 1 species